GGGAGAGGAGCCCCGGCCCUGGGAUUCCCAGGAGUUUCCACUUGGUGAUCAGCACUGAACACAGACCACCAAUCAUGGAGUCUGUGCUGAGCUGGGUUUUCCUUGUUACUGUUUUGAAAGGUGUCCAGUGUGAGGUGCAGCUGGUGGAGUCUGGGGGAGGCUUGGCAAAGCCUGGGGGGUCCCUGAGACUCUCCUGUGCGGCCUCUGGAUUCACCUUCAGCAGCUAUGGCAUGAGCUGGGUCCGCCAGGCUCCAGGGAAGGGGCUGGAGUGGGUCUCAUACAUUAGUAGCAGUAGUAGUUACAUAUACUACGCAGACUCCGUGAAGGGCCGAUUCACCAUCUCCAGAGACAACGCCAAGAACUCGCUGUAUCUGCAGAUGAGCAGCCUGAGAGCCGAGGACACGGCCGUGUAUUACUGUGCAAGACACAGUGAGGGGAGGCCCGUGUGGGCCCGGACACAAACCUCCUGCAGGGGUUCCCCAGACCGCCAGUGGGCGCCCAGACGCUGCGCACGGGGCUGUCCCGGGGCAGGUGCAGGUGCAGCUGAGGGCUGGCUUCCUGCCGUGGUCUGGGGCUGCCUCUUGUCACAUCUCCCCAGGGAACCUCCCAGAGUCACAAUUCUGUGCUACCAGUUGA